CCUGAACGCUGGCGGCGUGGCUAAGACAUGCAAGUCGCACGGGGUAGCAAUACCCAGUGGCGAACGGGAGAGUAAUGAAUCGCUAAUGUACCCCGGACUCUGAGAUAGCUGCCCGAAACGGGCAGGUAAUAUCAGAUGACAUAACCGCACGGCAUCGUGUGGUUCUCAAAGGUCCGCCGGUCUGGGAGCAGGCGAUUUCGUAUCAGCUAGUUGGUGAGGUAACGGCUCACCAAGGCGACGACGCGUAGCCGGCCUGAGAGGGCGGACGGCCACACUGGGACUGAGACACGGCCCAGACUCCUACGGGAGGCAGCAGUGGGGAAUUGUUCGCAAUGGGCGCAAGCCUGACGACGCAACGCCGCGUGGAGGAUGAAGGUCUUCGGAUUGUAAACUCCUGUUGACCGGGAAGAAUAGGCCCUGACCCAACACGUCGGGGCAAUGACGGUACGGUUGAGGAAGCCACGGCUAACUCUGUGCCAGCCGCCGACCGU
rnacentral:rRNA from 1 species